rnacentral:lncRNA from 1 species
UCUUCCCUGAGUAGAUGAGGUUGUUCUCUAUGAUCGCCAGAAGAGGCCCGAAGACAGGGUCUUUCAAAACUUCCUCAUACUCAUCUUUCAGAGCCACCUUUACCGCCUUCAGAAGCGUCCUUCUACAUGUGUUGUUAAUCUUAUCCAUCUGCGUCUCAGCACCUUCUUGAAGAAUGCGUUUAGGAAACUGGUGAGCCAUUCCUAAAAAACAUGAAUUCCAUAAGUUAACAGCGAACCAAAUAUAACCAUCUCACAUUUAACUAGUUUUUUACAAUUCAAAACUACUUAGAAACACAAAUCGAAACAAAAUAUAAUCAACUAGCAAAUGUUUUUACCUCUAAAAUAAAACAGAGUCAAAGUUACGCACCAAAUGUAUAACAAAAGACUACACACUAUCGACAAAUUCAAUUCAAAUAACAAACUCGAUCCCAAAACAAGUAUGUAAAAUUGAUGUCUAAAGCAUGUCAAAGUCAUUAGCUUUUUCAAGUCUAUUAUGAAUUCUAAACCUUAAUAAAGCCGAUACCAAACAAACUAGAACUCAAAAUCACCUCAACAACAA